rnacentral:rRNA from 1 species
AUGAAGAAAGUUGAUGCACUUGGAUUCGGCAAUAGCCUGGUGUGCCUAGACGCACAUCCAACAGAGACAUGGAUCUUAACAUGCAAGUUUUUUGGAGAUGUUCACAUGUGGGAUCUUGUCUCUCAGGCAUGUUCUGUUGGGCUAUCAGCGACAGUUAAAUUCCUUAAAUUUAUCGCACGGAAGCAAUGGUUUCUGGCUGGUGCAGACGAUGGCUUCAUCCAUGUGUGCACCUACGGAACAGAGAUAGUACAACAGAUCAUGAGUUUCAGAGCCGGUUCUUCCAGUGUCACAGCAAUGACCAUCCAUCCAACCCAGCUAUAUGUGCUGUCCUCAGCUCAUGAAAGCCCGAUUAGGCUUUGGAACUGGGAAGAGGGCUGGCAGUGCACACGAACUUUCGACGAUGAACACUCUGGAACUGUCUGUCAGAUCACCUUCAACCCAAAUGAUGCCAACUAUUUUGCUAGUGCGUCCGAAGAUCAGACAAUAAAGGUUUGGAGCCUCGACUCUCCCAAAUCUAACUACACUCUGUUUGGGCAUUUGGCCCCAGUGAACUGCCUCGAUUUCUUCGCACAUGGUGAGCAACAGUAUCUGAUUUCUGGCUCAGAUGAUUUGACUGCCAGGGUAUGGGACUUGGCGAAACGGUCGUGUGUCUAUACAAUAAGCGCUCUCAUGGCUCCAGUUCUUUCUGUUAUAUGUCUUCUUCCUGAUCGUCCAUAUCUAAUUAUAGGUCUAAAAGAUGGCACUCUUCAUCUUUUCAGCUCUGCUGAUUUUAGGCUUGAGAAAAUCAUUGACUUCGGCUGUAGCAAAGUUUGCAAUCUCAUUCUGAUGGGAUCAGUAAGGGUUGUGAUUGAACAAGAGGGGGCAGUGUCAAUCAUAGAUAUAGACCCUGAAAAACAAGGUGGUGUUAUCAGUGAAGUGAUGGCUAACGUGGUCGAUGCGGUGAAAUUGGACGUUGCUUUGGAAACACAACUAGACAUCUUCGAAGAACCCUUGCCUGAUGCAGUUUCAGGGACAGGAAUAUGA